UCCCAUAUGGUGUAGUGGUCAACAUGGUGGAUUCUCAAUCCGCAGCCCCGAGUUCGAUUCUCGGUGUGGGAA